rnacentral:rRNA from 2 species
AAAGAAACCAACAGGGAUUGCCCUAGUAACGGCGAGUGAAGCGGCAACAGCUCAAAUUUGAAAUCUGGCCCUCGGGUCCGAGUUGUAAUUUGUAGAGGAUGCUUUUGGUGAGGUACCUUCCGAGUUCCCUGGAACGGGACGCCAUAGAGGGUGAGAGCCCCGUCUGGUUGGAUACCGAGCCUCUGUAAAGCUCCUUCGACGAGUCGAGUAGUUUGGGAAUGCUGCUCUAAAUGGGAGGUAUAUGUCUUCUAAAGCUAAAUACCGGCCAGAGACCGAUAGCGCACAAGUAGAGUGAUCGAAAGAUGAAAAGCACUUUGAAAAGAGAGUUAAAAAGUACGUGAAAUUGUUGAAAGGGAAGCGCUUAUGACCAGACUUGGGCUUGGUUGAUCAUCCUGGGUUCUCCCUGGUGCACUCUUCCAGUUCAGGCCAGCAUCAGUUCGCUGCGGGGGAUAAAAGUUUUGGGAAUGUGGCUCCCUCGGGAGUGUUAUAGCCCAUUGCAUAAUACCCUGCUCCGGACUGAGGUUCGCGCAUCUGCAAGGAUGCUGGCGUAAUGGUCAUCAGCGACCCGUCUUGAAACACGGACCAAGGAGUCGUCUUCGUAUGCGAGUGUUCGGGUGUUAAACCCCUACGCGUAAUGAAAGUGAACGCAGGUGAGAGCUUCGGCGCAUCAUCGACCGAUCCUGAUGUUCUCGGAUGGAUUUGAGUAAGAGCAUACGGGGCCGGACCCGAAAGAAGGUGAACUAUGCCUGUAUAGGGUGAAGCCAGAGGAAACUCUGGUGGAGGCUCGCAGCGGUUCUGACGUGCAAAUCGAUCGUCAAAUAUGGGCAUGGGGGCGAAAGACUAAUCGAACCUUCUAGUAGCUGGUU